rnacentral:rRNA from 1 species
UACAGAGGUCUCAAGCGUUGUUCGGAUUCAUUGGGCGUAAAGGGUGCGUAGGCGGCGCGGUAAGUCGGGUGUGAAAUCUCGGAGCUUAACUCCGAAACUGCAUUCGAUACUGCCGUGCUUGAGGACUGGAGAGGAGACUGGAAUUUACGGUGUAGCGGUGAAAUGCGUAGAUAUCUGGAGGAACACCGGUGGCGAAGGCGGCGUUCUGGACUGCAACUGACACUGAAAAACGAAAGCCAGGGGAGCAAACGGG